GCGUCGUUAGCCCAGUGGUUAGGGUAUCGCCUUCCCACACUGAAUGGGCGAUAGGCGGGGGUCGUGGGUUCGAGUACGUAUCCUGGAGUG